rnacentral:lncRNA from 1 species
GAUUUAGUUUUAAGAGACUGUUAUUAUGUGCCUGCAGCAAGCAGGAAUUUGAUUUCUAUUUCAUGUUUAGCACAAAAAGGCUAUGUGAUUAGCUUUCAUAAGGACCAUUGUAAUAUUUUUUAUGAAAAUAAUAAAGUUGCAGAUGGUUUUCUUAUUAACGGUCUCUAUCAGCUACAUAUUGAUGUAUCUAUAUUUAAUAUCGAGCAAAAUGUGAAUGCCAUAGAAAUUAAAAGGCGUAGAGAUAGUCUAAAUGAUAGGUAUCUAUGGCACCUAAGGCUAGGUCAUAUAGC